rnacentral:rRNA from 1 species
AGAGUUUGAUCCUGGCUCAGGACGAACGCUGGCGGCGUGCUUAACACAUGCAAGUCGAACGGAAAGGCCCUUCGGGGUACUCGAGUGGCGAACGGGUGAGUAACACGUGGGUGAUCUGCCCUGCACUCUGGGAUAAGCCUGGGAAACUGGGUCUAAUACCGGAUAGGACCGCAUGCUUCAUGGUGUGUGGUGCAAAGCUUUUGCGGUGUGGGAUGAGCCCGCGGCCUAUCAGCUUGUUGGUGGGGUAAUGGCCUACCAAGGCGACGACGGGUAGCCGGCCUGAGAGGGUGACCGGCCACACUGGGACUGAGAUACGGCCCAGACUCCUACGGGAGGCAGCAGUGGGGAAUAUUGCACAAUGGGCGCAAGCCUGAUGCAGCGACGCCGCGUGAGGGAUGACGGCCUUCGGGUUGUAAACCUCUUUCAGUAGGGACGAAGCGAAAGUGACGGUACCUACAGAAGAAGGACCGGUCAACUACGUGCCAGCAGCCGCGGUAAUACGUAGGGUCCGAGCGUUGUCCGGAAUUACUGGGCGUAAAGAGCUCGUAGGUGGUUUGUCGCGUUGUUCGUGAAAACUCACAGCUUAACUGUGGGCGUGCGGGCGAUACGGGCAGACUAGAGUACUGCAGGGGAGACUGGAAUUCCUGGUGUAGCGGUGGAAUGCGCAGAUAUCAGGAGGAACACCGGUGGCGAAGGCGGGUCUCUGGGCAGUAACUGACGCUGAGGAGCGAAAGCGUGGGGAGCGAACAGGAUUAGAUACCCUGGUAGUCC